GGGGGGGGGGGGGGGGGGGGGGGGGGGGGGGGGGGGGGGGGGGGGGGGGGGGGGGGGGGGGGGGGGGGGGGGGUGGUCAGUGGUCAGUGGUCAGUGGUCAGUGGUCACUCUGGUCACUCUGGUCACUCUGCCCGCAGCACCAUCACGCCGGUGCUGGUCAGUGGUCAAAAAAAAAUAGCAGUGCAGAAAUAAAUACAUUUUCCAGUCAAGUCAAGUAAUACUACUCUUGGUUGCACCAAUGAUCUCUCACUACAAUAUGGGAAUUUUUUAGCUCAGAGUAGAAACAAGAAAUUACUACAAACUUUAUUUGUGCGGUCACUCUGGUCAGUGGUCACUGGUCACUGGUCACUGGUCAGUGGUCACUGUGGUCACUCUGGUCACUCUGGUCACUCUGGUCACUGUGGUCAGUGGUCACUCUGGUCACUCUGGUCACUCUCUCCGCAGCACCAUCACGCCGGUGCUGGUCACUGGUCAGUGGUCAGUGGUCACUCUGGUCACUCUGGUCACUCUGCCCGCAGCACCAUCACGCCGGUGCUGGUCAGUGGUCAGUGCGGUCACUCUGGUCAGUGGUCACUGUGGUCAGUGGUCAGUGGUCAGUGGUCAGUGGUCACUCUGGUCACUCUGGUCACUCUGCCCGCAGCACCAUCACGCCGGUGCUGGUCAGUGGUCAGUGCGGUCACUCUGGUCAGUGGUCACUGGUCACUGGUCACUGGUCAGUGGUCACUGUGGUCACUCUGGUCACUCUGGUCACUCUGGUCACUGUGGUCAGUGGUCACUCUGGUCACUCUCUGUGGUCAGUCGUCAGUGGUC
rnacentral:lncRNA from 12 species